rnacentral:rRNA from 1 species
UGGAUCCACACUUUGAUCCUGGCUCAGGAUGAACGCUGGCGGCGUGCUUAACACAUGCAAGUCGAACGGGGUACCCCCAAAGGAGUUUUCGGACAACUGCGGGGAAUACCUAGUGGCGGACGGGUGAGUAACGCGUGAGUAACCUGCCUUGGAGUGGGGAAUAACAGCUGGAAACAGCUGCUAAUACCGCAUGAUGCAGUUGGGUCGCAUGGCUCUGACUGCCAAAGAUUUAUCGCUCUGAGAUGGACUCGCGUCUGAUUAGCUAGUUGGCGGGGCAACGGCCCACCAAGGCGACGAUCAGUAGCCGGACUGAGAGGUUGGCCGGCCACAUUGGGACUGAGACACGGCCCAGACUCCUACGGGAGGCGGCAGUGGGGAAUAUUGGGCAAUGGGCGGAAGCCUGACCCAGCAACGCCGCGUGAAGGAAGAAGGCUUUCGGGUUGUAAACUUCUUUUCUCAGGGACGAAGCAAGUGACGGUACCUGAGGAAUAAGCCACGGCUAACUACGUGCCAGCAGCCGCGGUAAUACGUAGGUGGCAAGCGUUAUCCGGAUUUACUGGGUGUAAAGGGCGUGUAGGCGGGACUGCAAGUCAGAUGUGAAAACCAUGGGCUCAACCUGUGGCCUGCAUUUGAAACUGUAGUUCUUGAGUACUGGAGAGGCAGACGGAAUUCCUAGUGUAGCGGUGAAAUGCGUAGAUAUUAGGAGGAACACCAGUGGCGAAGGCGGUGUGCUGGACAGCAACUGACGCUGAGGCGCGAAAGCGUGGGGAGCAAACACGAUUAGAUACCCUGGUAGUCCACGCUGUAAACGAUGGAUACUAGGUGUGGGGGGACUGACCCCCUCCGUGCCCCAGUUAACACAAUAAGUAUCCCACCUGGGGAGUACGAUCGCAAGGUUGCAACUCAAAUGAAUUGACGGA